rnacentral:rRNA from 1 species
UACAGGGGUCCCAAGCGUUGUUCGGAUUCAUUGGGCGUAAAGGGUGCGUAGGCGGUCUUCUAAGUUUGAUGUGAAAUCCCGAGGCUCAACCCUGGAAUUGCAUUGAAUACUGGAGGACUAGAGUACCGGAGAGGAAACUGGAAUUUACGGUGUAGCAGUGAAAUGCGUAGAGAUCGUAAGGAAGACCAGUGGCGAAGGCGGGUAUCUGGACAGUUCCUGACGCUGAGGCACGAAGGUCAGGGGAGCAAACGGG